rnacentral:rRNA from 1 species
UGGGGAAUUUUGGACAAUGGGCGAAAGCCUGAUCCAGCAAUGCCGCGUGUGUGAAGAAGGCCUUCGGGUUGUAAAGCACUUUUGUCCGGAAAGAAAUCCUUGGCUCUAAUACAGUCGGGGGAUGACGGUACCGGAAGAAUAAGCACCGGCUAACUACGUGCCAGCAGCCGCGGUAAUACGUAGGGUGCAAGCGUUAAUCGGAAUUACUGGGCGUAAAGCGUGCGCAGGCGGUUUGCUAAGACCGAUGUGAAAUCCCCGGGCUCAACCUGGGAACUGCAUUGGUGACUGGCAGGCUAGAGUAUGGCAGAGGGGGGUAGAAUUCCACGUGUAGCAGUGAAAUGCGUAGAGAUGUGGAGGAAUACCGAUGGCGAAGGCAGCCCCCUGGGCCAAUACUGACGCUCAUGCACGAAAGCGUGGGGAGCAAACAGGAUUAGAUACCCUGGUAGUCCACGCCCUAAAACGAUGUCAACUAGUUGUUGGGGAUUCAUUUCCUUAGUAACGUAGCUAACGCGUGAAGUUGACCGCCUGGGGAGUACGGUCGCAAGAUUAAAAACUCAAAUGAAUUGACGGGGUCAUAGCUGUUUCCU